UAUUUACUGGAAAAAAUAAAAAUAAAAAAAAGAAAUGAUAUGGAGAUUAACAUUGCCCAUGUGCAAGGAUGACAUGCAAAUUUGUGAAGCAUUCCAUAUUUGC
rfam:Chlorocebus sabaeus isolate 1994-021 chromosome 15, whole genome shotgun sequence.